CCUUCUCUACUGUUUUCCAUUCUGCUUUGUGUCCCAGAGGAGCAGAGAAGGUUAGGAGGCUGACCUUAACGGACUGCAUCAAUGGGCUCUCUUGUAUUCUGGCUUGGGGUUCAGUUAUGUCCGAGAUCAGAAGAUCAGAAAGCAGGAGGAGAGUGAGUUCAUGUCUUCAUUUCUCCAUCUUCCUUCCUGUUGGUUACCACAGGCUGGCUGAGUUUGUCCACUGAAGAAUACAGUUCCUGUUGUGUGUGUGUUCAGUUAUUCCAUUUGAGUAUGCCAUCUGUUUCCAGAAUGGAUGGUGACUGUUAUAAGAGGCUCCUGCAAUAAUUCAAGUAGGAGAUGAUGGUAAGCAGUGGAAGUGGAAUCAAGUGGCUGGACUCCUGCUUAUGUUUUGAAGGAAGAGCUGACAGAAUUUGCUGAUGGAUGAGAAGUAGUGUGUGAAAGAAGGAAAGGAUUUAGGAGUGACUCCAAAGCUGUAGGCUUGAGCAGCUGGAAGGAUGGAGUUAAUGGGACUGGAAAGACUGCAAGAAGAGCAGACUGGGAGUGGGAGCUUUUGUCAUGUUAAGUUUGAAAUAUCAACUAGAUAUCUAAGGAAUGUUUUCAAGUGGGCAUUUGGAUAUACAAGUCUGGUGUCAAGAGAGAGUUCUGGGAGUCAUCAGCCCAUAGAUGGUCUUUAAGGCCACGGAACAGGUGAAACCAUCCAUUGCAUGAGUGGAGAGAGAAGAGGAAUAAAGGCUGUGUUUUGGGAUCUUCCAUAUUUGGAAUUUGGGGAGAUGAGGAAAAACCAGAAAAUUAGACUGAAAAGGGGGACCAGAAACCAGGUGAGGGUGGUGUCCUGGAAGCCAAAUGAAGAAACUGUUCAGUGGAGGAACUGUGUAAAAUGCUGCUAAUAGUCAAAUAAAAGAACAACUGAGAAUUGA